UACAGAGGGGGCAAGCGUUGUUCGGAAUUACUGGGCGUAAAGGGUCUGUAGGUGGCCAACUAAGUCAGACGUGAAAUCCCUCAGCUUAACUGGGGAACUGCGUCUGAGACUGGAUGGCUCGAGUGCAGGAGAGGAAUGCGGAAUUCCAGGUGUAGCGGUGAAAUGCGUAGAUAUCUGGAGGAACACCGGUGGCGAAGGCGGCGUUCUGGACUGUUUCUGACACUGAAUAACGAAAGCCAGGGGAGCAAACGGG
rnacentral:rRNA from 1 species